UAAAAAUCGGCCUAGGCGGCCGAUUAAUCGGCGCCUAGGCGCUAGGCGGACUGCAACCGACUACGUUUAUGUGUAAUCGCUCAAGGUAAUCGGGGCUGGUCAACGCCGGUCAAACUCGGAGCUAAUCGGGUCUAAUCGGUGCUAAUCGGUCUAGGCGGUUUAAUUGGUCAACUUUGGUCAACGUAUUUUCAAAAAAAAUUAGGGGCAAAAUUGUCAAAAUUGAAAAGUUUUGCUAGGGUUCGUUCUCACUUCUCAUUCUAUCGUCCCCUGUGAAAACGUUUUCUGUGAUUUCUCACUUUUUCUCUCGACUCAAAACCGAAAUCAGAGAGCUUGAAGCUCACCCUCAUCCUCGCCAUCACCUCUUGAAGCUGGAAUCCGUGAAAUCCGAGCGCACCCUUCCGUUUCUCCUCCGCCUUCGUCGCUGUUAGAGCCUCAUUUUUCUUCUGAUAGCAACAUCGGUCUUUAUCAUCUACACGGUUAGUUCUUCAAACUUCGACUUUACUGAUUAACCUCUAUUAUUAUCGUGAAGAACUAAAGGACUCGUCCUCAACUGAUUUGUGAAGAACCGAAGGACUCGCCCUCGCCAUCAUCGGAAUUUGUGAACUUCACCCUCGCCAUCGCCGAAAUCUGUGAACUCUGCCUUAUCUACACAGGUUAGUUGUCGUCGAUUUAGUUAAAUUAUGUUGUUAAUCAACUGAUUUGUGAUGUCAAAUUCCGAUUUAGUCUAUUGUCGUCGAUUUAAGUUGUUAAUUAACCGAUUUGUGAUGAACUGGUGAUGAAGUAUAUAGUCGAACCAUAUAGUCGAACCUGUUGCUUCACAUUGAAAACCCAUAUUUGUUUACAUAACAGUUAUUAUUACGAAAGGAAUGAAAACCCAUAUUUUUUUUUCAACUUUGGGAAUCAAAUUGUAUUUCUUGACUGAAUCAUUUGGUCUUCCUACAGAAACUCAAGUAGUCAAUCAUCUCUUCCUGAUUAAGAUCAAGCAGGUCCUUCAUAGUUCCAAACAGUUACAAAUUCAUGGAAAUCAAGAUUUAAUUCUAUUUCAAUGAGGUUAGGAUUUCCUAAAAUGGCAUGAUUUUGGACAAAGUCACUAAUUCCUUCAUAGUUCGAAACUAAUAUCUUCAACUCGGCUAAUCAAUCAAAGAUUCCAGUGGUUGUCUGCAAAAGUGAGUAGUUACAUUUUCAUUCAUUCAUUCUGUAAUAUUUCCUUUUGUUCUCACUUUUGUAAUGAAUUUUUGUAGGUUGUCAUGUACCCGUAUCCAAAUAUGUCGUGUAGAGGGAGCAAAUUACCAUUUGGUCCUUAAUAAACAGUAGGGGUGGGAGGGGUGGAGAUGGAUUAAACACGUGGUUUAAUAUUUCACAGCUUUAUUUUUCUAUCUGCUUGUGAAAAAAA
rnacentral:lncRNA from 1 species